rnacentral:rRNA from 1 species
UACGUAGGGUGCAAGCGUUAAUCGGAAUUACUGGGCGUAAAGCGUGCGCAGGCGGUUUUGUAAGACUGUCGUGAAAGCCCCGGGCUCAACCUGGGAAUUGCGAUGGAGACUGCAAGGCUUGAAUCUGGCAGAGGGGGGUAGAAUUCCACGUGUAGCAGUGAAAUGCGUAGAGAUGUGGAGGAACACCGAUGGCGAAGGCAGCCCCCUGGGUCAAGAUUGACGCUCAUGCACGAAAGCGUGGGGAGCAAACAGG